rnacentral:misc_RNA from 1 species
UUGUGGAGGAGGACGCCGAAGGUGGGGCUAAUGGCUGGGGUGAAGUCGUAACAAGGUAGCCGUACCGGAAGGUGCGGCUGGAUCACCUCCUAACAGGGAGACAACAAAAUGUAAAUAUUAAUUUUGUCACCUUAGGUCGAUCGGUAUCUCAGAUUCUUAUUUUUUAAGAAUUUCAGUUUCUAAGUUUUUUCUAGGUCACACCCAUCACUUUUUCCUGGGCCAUUAGCUCAGGUGGUUAGAGCGCACCCCUGAUAAGGGUGAGGUCCCUGGUUCAAGUCCAGGAUGGCCCAUAUCUCUAUGUUGGGGGUAUAGCUCAGUUGGUAGAGCGCCUGCUUUGCAAGCAGGAUGUCAGCGGUUCGAGUCCGCUUACCUCCACUGAAUACCACCUCUUACAUAUAUUUAAAGAGGGAAAUUGUUUUGAGUUGUGUCCUAUUUUGCUCUGAGCGAAUCUAGCUUCCUAUUUUAUUUAAUGAAUAAGAUGCUGGACUCAUUGAAUUUUUUUCACUGUUUUCAGAGAACCUUGACAACUGCAUAGAUUAUUUUUGAAGACAAUAAGCAUCUUUAAUGAUGCAGAUUUAUUAUUUGUGCUAAUGCAUUAAAUAACAAUUCUAUUAAGCUGAUGCUUCAAUUAUUGAAGUUAUUGGUCAGCUACAA